AUGAUAAUGCUCUAUAAAUCAGUUGUGGUUUCUCGUCUACAAUCAAUCAUCUGGUGUCCAGGCAAACAGACAGCCACAACCUCACCACCUCCCAGAAGAGCUCAUCAGUCAAGAUUGCUGUUUUCAUUACAAAGUCCAGCUUCAACCCACCACAGGUUCACUAUCACUGAAGUACCCAAAUCCUAAGCAGGAAAAAGCUCUUUUCAG